rnacentral:rRNA from 1 species
ACUCAAAGGAAUUGACGGGGGCCCGCACAAGCGGUGGAGCAUGUGGUUCAAUUCGACGCAACGCGAAGAACCUUACCCAGGCUUGAACUGUGACUGACCACUCCCGAAAGGGAGCUUCCGCAAGGACAGUUACAGAGGUGCUGCAUGGCUGUCGUCAGCUCGUGUCGUGAGAUGUUGGGUUAAGUCCCGCAACGAGCGCAACCCUUGUUUGCUGUUGCCAUCAGGUAAUGCUGGGCACUCUGCAAAGACUGCCGGUGAUAAACCGGAGGAAGGUGGGGAUGACGUCAAGUCAGCAUGGCCUUUAUGUCUGGGGCUACACACGUGCUACAAUGGCCGAUACAAACCGUCGCGAGCCCGCAAGGGGGAGCUAAUCGGAGAAAGUCGGUCUCAGUUCGGAUCGUAGGCUGCAACUCGCCUGCGUGAAGUUGGAAUCGCUAGUAAUCGCGGAUCAGCACGCCGCGGUGAAUACGUUCCCGGGCCUUGUACACACCGCCCGU